rnacentral:rRNA from 1 species
GACGAACGCUGGCGGCGUGCUUAACACAUGCAAGUCGAACGGAAAGGCCCUGCUUGCAGGGUUCUCGAGUGGCGAACGGGUGAGUAACACGUGGGUGAUCUGCCCUGCACUUCGGGAUAAGCCUGGGAAACUGGGUCUAAUACCUGCUAGGUGCCAUUUUUAGUGUGAUGGUUGGAAAGUUUUUUCUGUCUAGGAUGAGCUCGCGGCCUAUCAGCUUGUUGGGGGGGUAAUGGCCUACCAAGGCGGCGACGGGUAGCCGGCCUGCGAGGGUGGACGGCCACAUUGGGACUGAGAUACGGCCCAGACUCCGACGGGAGGCAGCAGUGGGGAAGAUUGCACAAUGGGCGCAAGCCGGAUGCAGCGACGCCGCGUGGGGGAUGACGGCCUUCGGGUUGUAAAAUCCUUUCGCUAGGGACGAAGCUUUUUGUGACGGUACCUAGAUAAGAAGCACCGGCUAACUACGUG